rnacentral:tRNA from 1 species
GCCGAGAUAGCUCAGUUGGUAGAGCAGAGGACUGAAAAUCCUCGUGUCCCCAGUUCAAUUCUGGGUCUCGGCACCA